rnacentral:tRNA from 1 species
UAGCCCAGUUGGUAGAGCAUGGCACUUGCAAUGCCAGGAUUGUGGGUUCGUAUGCCAU